rnacentral:rRNA from 1 species
CCUACGGGAGGCAGCAGUGGGGGAUAUUGCACAAUGGGCGAAACCCUGAUGCAGCGACGCCGCGUGGGCGAAGAAGUAUUUCGGUAUGUAAAGCCCUAUCAGCAGGGAAGAAGAAAUGCCGUUACCUGAGUAAGAGACACCGCCUAACUACGUGCCAGCAGCCGCGGUAAUACGGAGGGUGCAAGCGUUAUCCGGAUUUACUGGGUGUAACGGGUGCGCAGGCGGCACGGCAAGCCUGAUGUGAAAGCCCGGGGCCCAACCGCGGGACUGCAGUGGGAACUACCGGGCUGGAGUGCGGGAGAGGUAAGCGGAAUGCCGAGUGUAGCGGUGAAAGGCGUAGAUAUCAGGAGGAACACCAGUGGCGAAGGCGGCCUACUGGACGGUGACUGACGCUGAGGCGCGAAAGCGUGGGGAGCAAACAGGAUUAGAUACCCCAGUAGUC